rnacentral:tRNA from 1 species
UUUCAAGUAGUUUAUAAAAAAUAUUGAUUUGUGGUAUCAAUGAAGUAAUUGUUUUACCUUGGGUU